GACAGCCAGGAUGUUGGCUUAGAAGCAGCCAUCAUUUAAAGAAAGCGUAAUAGCUCACUGGUCGAGUCGGCCUGCGCGGAAGAUGUAACGGGGCUAAACCAUGCACCGAAGCUGCGGCAGCGACACUCAGGUGUUGUUGGGUAGGGGAGCGUUCUGUAAGCCUGUGAAGGUGUGUCGUGAGGCAUGCUGGAGGUAUCAGAAGUGCGAAUGCUGACAUAAGUAACGAUAAAGCGGGUGAAAAG
rnacentral:rRNA from 1 species